UGGUCCAGUUGAUGAAUGACAUUUAACCUAACAUUGUUUAUUGCGUAUUACAAUAUUGCGUUUCUUAAUUGAUAAUCAUUUAAUGUUACCCUGUUUGAUAUUUGUGUCUACUUUUGUACAUUUCUUAGACUUAGAGAUCAACCUCGCAUUCAUUGCCCUGAGGAAGAAGCAAAAAAGCUUCGAAAGCUAGGCUUUACAUGAAUAAAGAGUAAAUAUA